GAUGAACGCUGGCGGCGUGCUUAACACAUGCAAGUCGAACGGUGAACCCGGAGCUUGCUCUGUGGGAUCAGUGGCGAACGGGUGAGUAACACGUGAGCAACCUGCCCCUGACUCUGGGAUAAGCGCUGGAAACGGCGUCUAAUACUGGAUAUGUGACGUGACCGCAUGGUCUGCGUUUGGAAAGAUUUUUCGGUUGGGGAUGGGCUCGCGGCCUAUCAGCUUGUUGGUGGGGUAAUGGCUCACCAAGGCGUCGACGGGUAGCCGGCCUGAGAGGGUGACCGGCCACACUGGGACUGAGACACGGCCCAGACUCCUACGGGAGGCAGCAGUGGGGAAUAUUGCACAAUGGGCGCAAGCCUGAUGCAGCAACGCCGCGUGAGGGAUGACGGCCUUCGGGUUGUAAACCUCUUUUAGCAGGGAAGAAGCGAAAGUGACGGUAACUGCAGAAAAAGCGCCGGCUAACUACGUG
rnacentral:rRNA from 1 species